AUACGGAGGGUGCAAGCGUUACUCGGAAUCACUGGGCGUAAAGCGCGCGCAGGCGGCCUGAUAAGUUGGAUGUGAAAGCCUACGACUCAACCGUAGAACUGCAUCCAAAACUGUCAGGCUAGAGUGUGGGAGAGGAAGAUGGAAUUAGUUGUGUAGGGGUAAAAUCCGUAGAGAUAACUAGGAAUACCAAAAGCGAAGGCAAUCUUCUGGAACACUACUGACGCUGAGGCGCGAAGGCGUGGGGAGCAAACAGGAUUAGAAACCCUAGUAGUCC
rnacentral:rRNA from 1 species